rnacentral:rRNA from 1 species
UAAAGAAUUUCGGUAUGGGAUGGGGAUGCGUUCCAUUAGUUAGUUGGCGGGGUAACGGCCCACCAAGACAACGAUGGAUAGGGGUUCUGAGAGGAAGGUCCCCCACAUUGGAACUGAGACACGGUCCAAACUCCUACGGGAGGCAGCAGUGAGGAAUAUUGGUCAAUGGACGAGAGUCUGAACCAGCCAAGUAGCGUGAAGGAUGACUGCCCUAUGGGUUGUAAACUUCUUUUAUAUGGGAAUAAAAUGUUCCACGUGUGGGAUUUUGUAUGUACCAUAUGAAUAAGGAUCGGCUAACUCCGUGCCAGCAGCCGCGGUAAUACGGAGGAUCCGAGCGUUAUCCGGAUUUAUUGGGUUUAAAGGGAGCGUAGGUGGAUUGUUAAGUCAGUUGUGAAAGUUUGCGGCUCAACCGUAAAAUUGCAGUUGAAACUGGCAGUCUUGAGUACAGUAGAGGUGGGCGGAAUUCGUGGUGUAGCGGUGAAAUGCUUAGAUAUCACGAAGAACUCCGAUUGCGAAGGCAGCUCACUGGACUGCAACUGACACUGAGGCUCGAAAGUGUGGGUAUCAAACAGGAUUAGAUACCCUGGUAGUCCACACAGUAAACGAUGAAUACUCGCUG